GGCGACCGGCCACUGUGAGCAGCGAGUGUGGCCUGGGUGGCCUGCGUGGCGCGCAGGUCUAGAAGCGCUGGAGCUGGGAGGUGUGCAGGGGCUUGUGGUGAGAGUUUGGCGGACAUGGCUCCUACCGCAACGGCAGCGGAGUCCGAGUAUCCUAACGGCAUCCGGGCCGUGCUGCUAGGGCCUCCCGGGGCUGGUAAAGGUACCCAGGCACCCAGAUUAGCUGAAAACUUCUGCAUCUGCCAUUUGGCCACCGGGGACAUGCUGAGGGCCAUGGUAGCUUCUGGCUCAGAGCUGGGAAAAAAGCUGAAGGCAACUAUGGACGCUGGGAAACUGGUGAGUGAUGAAAUGGUAGUGGAGCUCAUUGAGAAGAAUUUGGAGACUCCUUCCUGCAAAAAUGGCUUCCUUCUAGAUGGCUUCCCUCGGACCGUGAGGCAGGCAGAAAUGCUUGAUGACCUCAUGAAAAGGAGGAAAGAGAAGCUUGAUUCUGUGAUUGAAUUCUGCAUCCCCGACUCCCUGCUAAUUCGAAGAAUCACUGGAAGGCUGAUUCACCCCAAGAGUGGCCGAUCCUACCAUGAGGAGUUCAACCCCCCAAAGGAGCCCAUGAAAGAUGAUAUCACAGGGGAACCCUUGAUCCGUAGAUCAGAUGAUAAUGAGAAAGCCUUGAAAACCCGCCUAGAGGCCUACCACACUCAGACUACCCCACUCGUGGACUACUACAAGAAACAAGGAAUCCACUCUGCCAUCGAUGCCUCCCAUACCCCUGAUGUUGUGUUUGCAAGCAUCCUAGCAGCCUUCUCCAAAGCCACAUGUAAAGACUUGGUUAUGUUUAUCUAAUGUUGGGUUCAAAAAGGAAUCUUUCUCUUCUCAUACCUGUUAAGGGAAUGGCAGGCCAGGCAGAGAGAAGCUUCCUUCCUCAGGCUAGCAAGAAUAUCCUUUGAUGUACUGAUUAAAAAGCAUUUGCUUGAUGUAUCUUUGGUGUGUGUGGAACUCUCAUCUCAUCUUUGUGUCUGUGUGUGGAAAAGUUUGUUCACUUCCUAAUUUCUAAGUGGGGCUAGGUUGCUUUACCAACUUUUGUUUGUUUGUUUGUUUGUUUGUUUGUUUUUUGUUUUUUGAGACAAGGUUUUGGUCUUGCUCUGUAAUUCAGGCUGGCCUUGAACUCACUAUGUGGUCCAGGCUGGCCUCGAACUUGUGGCAGUUCUCCUGCCUCAGCCUCCUGACUGCUGGGAUUACAGGUGUGUACCACCACACCCAGCUGCUUUACCAACUGUUUACUUUUUUAGCCAUACUGUUAAUUUUUGACCAAAAUAAACUAUCCCUGGUAUCUGUUAUAGACACCCCAGUUCCAAAGCCUCGGAGAACCUAUCUCAUCUCCAGCAGCUGAUUUGAGGUCUAAGAAUACAUGAAAUCAGACAGGGUCACAGUUCCUGAUGCAGAUUGUUGACUGGGAAUUUCACUUGUUUUCAGUUUACAAUGAAAAGCCACAUGAGUCAGUGUGUAGACAGGGAUCAUUAAUUUUUUUCACCCCUAAAUGGAAGAAAACGGCACUUUUCUUACAGAUUCCAGAAAUUGCUGGGAGCUGGUAUCACAGUAUAAAGAGAAUAUUUUUUUGUAAUCUGCAUUUUGGUGCUAUAAAGUAGGAAUCAUUUGGGACUUAGAUUGUUGCCAAAGAAUUGAAGCAGAUAAAGGUGUUUUAGAAUUCGGGUUGUCUUUUGAACAUCCAGACUGGGCUGGGCACCUGGGAACAGCCAAAUCCACUCCCCUGAAGAGAGACCAGGGAGGAGUUGAUUGAUUUUAUUUUUAAUGUUUGCUUUUGUUUCCAAGUGUAAACAAAACUAUGAUUUAGGGGUGAUCUAUUCUUGGAUUCAUUUUUAUCAAAAUGUAUUCAAAUCCAAUCUUUCCAGGAUAUAAAACUCAAAUCAGAUAUGUUCUCUUUAAACGAAAACUGUCUCCCUCCCAGAUCCAAUCCUUUACUCCUUAUUUCCUGAUGGUGGUAGCCACAUACUCUCCAAGAAAAGAUCACCCAAAAAUAAGAUCAUCUGUGAUAGUAACCAGCUUUUAUUUGUAACCUUAGCUCCCCAGCUAUUAAGCAUUUUCUAGGGUCCAUGCUAUGCUUUUCGGUCUCUGGUUUGAUUUGUGGCAAACAGAUGAAUUAAUAGCUGCUGUGGAGAGACCACAAACCCUGCGGCUCUGGAAAAACCAUUAGAAAGAGUGGAACAUCCACCUAGUAACAGAAGGCCAGGCGAGACUGCAUCACUGCUCAUCACCCCGCGGCGUGAUCCCUGCUCUUAGGUGCUGGGCAGAGAGGAAGGGUGAUCAUGGGAAGGAUGGAGAGGGGAGGGCUGGUGAGGGGCUCAAGAGGAGGAUUUGGAAGACCAGCAGAGUUGUAAUGAGCUGGUUGGGUUUUUUUAAACACAUAAGUGGGAGUUUCAAAACUAUAAGCAAAGGAGAAGAUUUUUUUAAAACUAUAAUUAGAGGAUGUGGGUACAAAUAGGGAGAUACAGUAUUACUUCUAAGCAAUUGGGUUUUUAUUUAUUCUGGACUGGUAACAAUAAUUUUUAUAGACCUCAACUUUUAUCUCAGAAUCUCAUAAGAUACCAGGCCAAAAAUGCAGGAAAUGGAACUGUGGUUCUGUCUGUCUCAUAGCUUGGAGUAGAGAGUUUGUUGACCAUGGUUCCCCAUACAAUAAGAUCAGAACAUCAUCUCCACAUUUGAAAGAGAUAUGGGUGAAUUCUCAGGGGUGGUGGCUCAGCAAAUCAAGUUUACUGGAACCAUGGGGGAGUGGGGGGACUGGCCUAACUCUUCCCCUGACUUACUGCUGAUGUACCAGUCCAUCUGGUCUCAUAGCUAAGCUCUUAGUGUCUCCCAGCACACACCACAAGCCUGCAGUCUUCUUUCAUCCAUGGUGUGUGAAGGGACCCUUUGAAAUAAAUAAAUAAGAGCUGAGGACAUAACUCAGUGGUUCAGCACUUACCUACCAUGUGCAAGGCCCUGGAUUAGGCCUCCAGCACCCCAAAAAUGUAACUAAAUAAAAAUAAAUGAGCAAGUGUCCUAAGCCAUAUGCAAAAUAAUUGCCCUUUCCAUCCUCAAAUCCUGUGACUGGAAUCAUUUGACAGCACUAUGUGAUGUAUUUUCAAUGAGGUGCCUUUCUUAACUGACCAAAUGCUGCCUUAUUUGGUCCCUAAAUCAAUAAAGCAUAUGAAAAAUUUU